CCGUACGCGAAAAACUUAUUUUCCCUAAAAUUAUUUGCCUCUGUUUUAGUUUUCUUUCUACCUAGGUUUCUCUUUUCUAUCCUGAACCGGCGUUGCUCCACACUCUACUCUCUGUGGCUAAAUUGAUCGUUGAAGGGUACCACUUUUGGUGCAUCCAACCUUGAAAUCCUUCUCGGCCACGAUUGAAUAAUAUUGUGCUGGUGGGUAUUGGAAUUCUAUGAAGGAUAAAUUAUUACAAACAAUUGUUUAAAUUGGGGCAUGCCUUGUUAAUUUGGAGAGAUGAUCAACAACCACCAAGACUCCAUCAGAUUUUCUCUCAAGUCCAUUCGUGGACGACCUGUUGUUAAAUUGAGCUUUGGCAUUGAUUAUCGACGCAGAAGGUGUGGUGUAUUUCCUAGCUAUCUAAUAAAAGUUGUCUUGAAUGUGUGUUACUUUGGAAGCUGAAGCCAAAGCCAAUUAGUACAUUUUCAGAUGAUGUGGUUUAGUCAACAUCUUGAGGACAAUAGAUGAUCAAAUGGAGUGUGUACCAUAUUGUAGGAAAGUGAUUUGUUUUUCAUCUGUUGAAUUGUGAGUACUUACAAGCAUAUGUACUUAGUGAAUCAAUUAUGAAUAAGAGAUUGACCAAUAAGUUUAGUAACUUCAACACUUCAUAUGGGUUUUAAAGAUGUUGGUUCCUGAUUUUGGGUUAAAAUAAGGAGUUUUACUGCAAAGA